UUAACAGUGUGUAAAUGCAAUGUAAGUGCAACCUACAACAGCACCAAGUUAGCAGAAGGAAAAUGGACUCAGGAGCCUAGGAAAAGAAGGGAGCCUACAAAAAAAAGCAAACAAGGGAAAAAUAAAAGGAAAUAUAGCAUCAUAUAUCAUGCACGGUGAGGUGAGACCCUUAGACGGUUGAAUCAUUCAGAUGAUGUGCUAUCAUUAGCUCUGGACAGUCUGCCCUCUGCUUGUUUGAUCUAGGCUGUUUAUAAAACAUAGAACCUGGCUGUUGCCGCCGAUGGACUCAUCAACCAAAUUAAGCAGAGACAUAUAAACGUGGAUUUUCAGGAAGAAGACAGUUACUUAAAGGAAAUCAACACGAAACUCAGCUGCCCAUAUUAAACACUUAUUAAGUCCACCUGAGCUGCACUCACUCUCCUCUUGACAGGAUAAUU